GACCCACUGAGACCAAGGGCAAGGGGAGGAAAGGCCCGGGGUAGGGCUGAAGACACAGGUUCCAGGCCCAGCUCUGCUGCUCACCGAUGAGGCUUCUCCUCUGUUGAGCAGGUAGCCCCAGUUGGGAGCUGAGGUGUGUUGAUUGGGGCUCUGGGAACCAUAGCCUGCCAGCUGUGGCUUGGCCAUCCCCUCUGCCAGCGCUUUCCCGCCCAUCAGCCCUUUUCUCUGGAGUCCCUCCUUCAGCCAGGUCCUGAAAAGUCAUACCUUUUGGCCAAGCUGCUGAAAAUACUACUCAGCCAGAACUCAUGUGCUCAUG
rnacentral:lncRNA from 1 species